UUAGGAAUUUUGGGCAAUGGGCGCAAGCCUGACCCAGCAACGCCGCGUGGGCGACGAAGCCUUUCGGGGUGUAAAGCCCUUUUCCACGGGACGAUCGUGACGGUACCGUGGGAAGAAGCCCCGGCUAACUACGUGCCAGCAGCCGCGGUAAUACGUAGGGGGCGAGCGUUGUCCGGAUUUAUUGGGCGUAAAGCGCGCGUAGGCGGCUCGCAGCGCCCGGCGUGAAAGCCCCCAGCUUAACUGGGGGAGGUCGUCGGGGGACGAGCGGGCUGGAGGUCGGUAGGGGCGAGCGGAAUUCCCGGUGUAGUGGUGGAAUGCGUAGAGAUCGGGGAGGAACACCAGUGGCGAAGGCGGCUCGCUGGGCCGAACCUGGACGCUCAGGCGCGAAAGCGUGGGGAGCGAUCCGGAUUAGAUACCCGGGUAGUCCACGCCGUAAACGAUGGGCACUAGGUGUCGGGGGUAUCGACCCCCCGGUGCCGUCGCUACGCAAUAGUGCCCGCCUGGGGACUACGGCCGCAAGGCUAAACUCAAAGAAUUGAC
rnacentral:rRNA from 1 species